GGGCUGGCUUCCGGCAGCCCUGGCUGGGGACUCGGAGGAGGGCGAGCCAGGAUGAGGCUCCCGAGCCUGGGAGGGGGAGAGGCUGGGAGGGAGGCUUGGCGCAGGCGUCCGCCUGACCCGGUUCAGACUUUCUCAAACCCAAACGGCCGUCCAACGUCCACCGUCCACCUGGACCGGUGUCGCCCGUAUCACUUCCGCUGCGCACUGAGCACAGACGCUCGUGACGUGUGGUGCACGCGCUGUUUGCUCCAGUCCGUGUAACCUGAAGUCGCCGCCAUCAAGAUCGUGGCCCUCAUCCGCACACUCACGUUCCUGGCAGAAGGUGGAAAACCCAGGGGUCCAUCAGCAAACAAAACGUGGUCUAUCCAUACAGUGGAACAUCACUCAGUCUUAACAAGGAAGGAAACGCUGACACCUGCUACAGCAAGGGCCUCGAGGACAGGAUGCUGAGUGGAACCGGCCAGUCACAGAAGGACAAGUACUGUGUCAUUCACUCAUAGGAGAUCGUCAAAUUCAGAGACACAAAGUAGAAUGGGAUGGGGGAGGAGGGCUGGGGGGAGGGGGACAGCCGAGUUCCUAUUUAAUGAAGACGGACUUUCGGUUUGGGAGAAUGAAAAAGUGUUGGAGGUGGUUGCACGACAGUGUGAAUGUAAUGAAUACCACAGAACUGUGCACCUAAAAAUGGCUGAAUGGUAAAUUUUAUGUUUGUGCAUUUUACCACGAUUUCAAAAAACAAAAAAAACAAAACCGAAAUGCCUCCAUGCGCCCAAGAGCUCAUCCUGCACGGGGAUCUACACACCAAGACUACCUGGAAGGCCCCUGCACCUUCCAACCAGAAGUAUUUGUCUCCUGGGCGGGCUUGCGUGGACCUGGCCAGAAUGGCCUCAUGCAGCUGGGCCUUGAGACCAGUGAGUGAAAUCUGGGCACUUCACUUACCUGCAAAGAGACAUCACAGUGGCCAGUGGGAAAGCUCAAGACUCGAGUGGCCGGGCAAACUGUCCUGCGGGGCCUUACGGGCUUGGAAUUCAGGGCCACAGGAAGUGGGGAGAGGACCUGAAUGUUCCAUGGCCUCCUGGAGAGAAGCCUCACAGCCGGGCAGUACACCCUCCUAGUGGCCUCCCAGAGGCUCCUCUUCCGGGAGGCAGGGAGUAGAGGGCAGGGGCUGUUCACUGUAGCCACAGUGACGCUGCUUUUCCAGAUUCCCAAGUCUGCCCGAGACGGCUUCGGACAGACGCGGUGCCCCUGUGCAGUGCAAAGCCCUCCAACAGAUCCUCUUUAAGGUUCUUGGGGGUCUGCUCUGUCCCAGGGAAGGACACAGCAUCCCGACUACUGGCCCUACCCCAUCCCCACUGUGGCCUCACUAGAGAGUGAAAGCAGAAAGGAAAAGGAGGCUCAGAGAGGUUAAGUGACAUGCUCAGGGUCACACAGCUGAUAACCUCAGAGCCAGGACCGGAAACCAGUCGCUCUGACCACAGAACUCACACUCUCCUACAACUGUGUUUCUCAACUAGGAGUGGGUGAGUGAGUGUGUGGAGAGGAGCCCCAAGACAGACGCGGAUCAGCCCCCAGAGCAUUAGGUUUACUCAGACAUCUGGGGUGGGAGGUGGGGAAGCAAGCCAAUGGAUAAAAUCUUACUUCUUCAUUACUCGACUUCAUUACCUCAUCCCCAUAGUAAAGGGGCAGAGCACAACACCCGUAUGGAUUCUUCAGUAAACCCAGGGACUUCGGGCUGGCAUCCGUCCCAUCUUCUGAGUUCACUGGCCCCCACAAUUAAGGAAACAUUGGUGGAAAAGUUCGAGAAGGUUAUGUUCCAUCUGCCACUUUGGGGAGAAAGUACCACCCCAUCUUGUGACGUUGCUUCACGACGACUCACCAAAUGAAAGGAUAAGUCCGCUGGAACAGGUCGGCACGGGUGUCCUUUGUGGCUGCCUCCCAAGCCCCCCAGGUUGGCAAUAUGAACGCCCCAAGGUCCCGCUCAUUUGUUAUCUGAGUCACAGCAGGGUGGGAGGGGGCAGGCAGGGCAGGGAGCCGUGUGCCCAGGUGGCAGAAGGCAGAGCUGAAGCCCAGAGAGGCCAGGGGCCCAUAUGCACAGAACGAAAAGGGGGGAGGUAGUGUGACACAGGAAAAGUGAAGAGACCCCCGAAAAGACUGCUUUUUUGUGCCUCCGUUUUUUAGGUAUACUUCACGCCCACUGCAGAGCCCAACGCGCGGCUUGGAUUCACAACCCUGAGAUCAAGACUUACACUGAGAUAAGAGUCAGAUGCUUAACCGACUGAGCCACCCAGGCGCCCUUUGCUGCCUCUAUUCUGGCUGGGACCCACACCCUGCCUUACACAUGCCUUUUAGGACAGAUAAUAUAUGUCUUCCUUAUAAAGGUCAAGGAGUUAAUGAUUUCUUUGGAAUUUUCCAGCACAAGAGAUAACAUCUAAGGAGUGACCAGGUUGGGCAUCAUUCCCAAGACCACUGAGCCACCAAGACCCCUGGCUCCGGGGCAUUAGUGCCUUACAGAGGACCUCUAAACACUCACCUUUGUUCCUGGAUGCCUGAGAAGACGUGUGCACGGGACCACAGUCCUCAGUAAAAACCCCAGAGUCCAAGCAAAGACUCUCUCUCCUUUCCGAGUCUCCCAGACACGGUCUGUCCCUGCACUCUGUGUCUGCAAGAAACUCCACUCUCACCUCCUGCUGGCCCGAAUUUGAUGUCACUCCUGCGAGAACCCAAGUACCCUCUUGUUUGGUUCCGUGAGACCCCCUCUGGGUCCUCAGACGCAGCCAGCCUGCAUUAAGGGGGGGUGCCCUGUGGCCCCGGCGCCUCCUGCUUCUCUGGACUUGACCCUGAUCCCGGCCACCCAGCCAUCACCAGGCAGUGUCUGGGAGAGAGAACGCCUGCUGCUUUUCUCACUUGCCCCGGCAGGGAGAGGGCCUAAAGAGGGGUGCCGCAACUCCCUGAGGCGCUGGAGCCUGGGGCGCCCCAGGGAUGACCGAGGCACCGCCCCAGCCCCUGGAGGUAGUGGUCCUUUGUGCCUCCCAGGCUGAGUCCCUGCACCCUUCCAUCAGUCUGUCCAUCUGACACACGAGGACCCGGCCACCCCAGGGUGAGGGGGACAGGAAGGUGCUUCUGAGAGCAUAGCCCUGGCAGAUGCUCUGUGUGCUCAGGGGCUCUAGGACCCACAGGGGAGGCUGAGCAGGUGGGACUCCCUUCUUCUCUAAGGAGGGCUAUUGUUGGGCUCCUCAGUAAGACUUCCCCUGAUGAGCGAUUAAGCUACUAAAAACCAUUUGAGGCCCCCCCCCCCCGUGAGGUGUCCAGUCAUGACCCCCAGGGCUGCACUGCACCAAGACCUCAUCGUUCCUCUUUGGGCCUCCUUACAGAAGGCCCCUUGAGAGAGAAGAGCAUUGGACUAAAUCAAACAGACCCGGAAGAAAACCCCAAACAACAGUGGCUUAGACAAGAUGAAAGUUUCAUUUUCUUGCACUCUCAAGACGUUUACAGGUGGCCGGGGCUCGUGCGGCAAGCAGUGUCACAGUGCCAGGACCCUGAGCUCCUUGUAUACUGUGGCUCUGCCGUGCAGUCUUCAUUUCCAACCUCAUCACCUCAUGGUCCAAAAUGGCUGCUAACGCUCCUGCCAUUAGAUCUGCAUUACAGGCAGCAGAAGGAGAAAGGGGAGUAGGGUGUGUCUUGCCCUUUAAGAACCUUUCCUAAUGCCAAACACUAUUUUUACAUCCAGGCCAAAAUUUAGUCACAUGGUCACACCUAAGUAUAAUGGAGACUGGGAAGUAUCUUGAUUCCAAGCAGCAAAUGCCCAGCAGGGAGCCCAGGGAGGCUAAAACCAAGGACAGAAGAUGAUCCUGUUUUAAAGUUGCUGGUUCCCGGGUUUACAGAUCGCCACGAGCGUUCGACGUGAUGAUUGAUUUUCCACCUGCAAGCUGACUGUCACAGCCUGGAAGUGUCCACAAGCUGCACGAGGCCUGGACCUUGCCUGCCUCUCUUAUGCUGUCUCAAGUGCAGAACAACAGAGACCCCACCAGACAAUGGAUGGAGGAACCCCGAGCCCAGCACCCAGCCUUCAUCAGCUCACCGAUUCUCACAUGGCUUGUAUAAUCACACCCACUCUGGCGGUGAGCAAACUGAGGCUCACAACAUGAAAACCUUGUCUGGGACCCAGGACCAAGGACCCAGGCCCCGGGAUGCAUUUGACUUUCAUGUGCCCAAGGCAUUUUACCUUUCUGGGCUCCUUCCUCCAUUAAAAAUACAAAAGUUCUGGGGCAUCUAGGUGGCUCAGUCGGCUAAGCAUCCAACUCUUGAUUUCAGCUCAGAUCAUGAUCUCAUAGCCAUGAGAUCCAGCCCAGUGUCAGGCUCUGCACUGAUACCGUGGAGCCUGCUUGGGAUUCUCUCUCUCUCUCUCUCUCUCUCUCUCUCUCUCUCUGCCUCUCCCCCGUUCUGUGUUCACGUGCCCACAGGCUCGCUCUUUCUCUCUUUCUCUCUCAAAAUAAACAAACCUUAAAAAAUGUAUGAGGGGCGCCUGGGUGGCUCAGUCGGUUAAGCGUCCGACUUCAGCUCAGGUCAUGAUCUCACUGUUCGUGAGUUCGUGAGUUCGUGAGCCUCGCAUCAGGCUCUGAGCCUGGAGCCUGCUUCAGAUUCUGUGUCUCUCUUCCUCCCCUCCCCUGCUCACGCUGUGUCUCUCUCAAGAAUAAAUAAACAUUAAAAAAAGUUUUUCUUAA